rnacentral:tRNA from 1 species
GCUUCCAUAGUUCAACGGAUAGAACACUGGCCUUCUAAGCCGGCGAUGUAGGUUCGAUUCCUACUGGAGGCACAA